rnacentral:rRNA from 1 species
UACGGAGGGUGCAAGCGUUGCUCGGAAUUAUUGGGCGUAAAGGGUAGGGUAGGUGGUCUCAUUUGUCUUGGGGUGAAAAGCCUUGUAGCUUAACUCAAGAAGUGCCUUAGAAACGGUGAGACUGGAGUCCUGGAGAGGGUCGUGGAAUUCCCGGUUGUAGCGGUGGAAAUGCGUAGAGAUCGGGAGGAACACCAGAGGCGAAGGCGGCGACCUGGACAGGUACUGACACUAAACUACGAAAGCGUGGGGAGCAAACAGG